CUUUUGUCCAUUUUCUCUGACUCCUGUCACCUCUUAUCAAUCUUCUGCCUACUCCUAUUGGAAUGAACCUCACCUUGGUGAAGAAAUUGCUGAUCCAUGAGGACUUGAAGCGGCUGAUGAAACAAGUUCGAGAAAAUGGACAAAAGACUCUGAUUACUAUCCAUCAUGAUAUACAAGAAAUGCAUUGAGUGAUGGAAAGGGUAAAGAGAGAUGAAAGACACCGUUGGUGGGACACUUUGUUUGAAUGGUCACCAGCUGCCACCGGAGUCUUCAAUAAGAUGCUUCACCCUGUUGUUGUUUUGUUAAUACUCAUUGUAUUAUGCUUUUAGUUUGUAUGUUAAACUCUGGAUUAUGAUGAAACGUUUAGCAUCCCUACACAAUGUACAUACACUCGAUAAACCUUGUCCCAAGAAUGUAUGUGAUAUCCCUGACAUAUUCCAAAUGUCGUGAAGCUUGAGUGACUAUAGUCAUGGGGUGGAUGAUGUGGUGCAAUUGCCUAAAGUAACUAGGAAAAUAAAACUAAUAUUCACAUUUUCAAG